rnacentral:miRNA from 1 species
GCGGGAGUUGCCUGGGGGCCUCGCAGGGGGGAUCCAGCCCAGGCUAGUUCCGCUGACUGUGCCUGUAGGCCGGUGGCGUCUUCUGG